UACAGAGGUCCCAAGCGUUGUUCGGAUUUACUGGGCGUAAAGGGUGCGUAGGUGGUGAGUUAAGUCUGUCGUGAAAUCCCCGGGCUUAACCUGGGAACUGCAUUUGUGACUGCAUCGCUGGAGUGCGGCAGAGGGGGAUGGAAUUCCGCGUGUAGCAGUGAAAUGCGUAGAUAUGCGGAGGAACACCGAUGGCGAAGGCAAUCCCCUGGGCCUGCACUGGACGCUCAGUGCACGAAAG
rnacentral:rRNA from 1 species